rnacentral:rRNA from 1 species
UACGUAGGCAGCAAGCGUUGUUCGGAGUUACUGGGCGUAAAGGGUGCGUAAGCGGCUAUUUAAGUUUGGUGUGAAAUCUCCCGGCUCAACUGGGAGGGUGCGCCGAAUACUGAGUGGCUAGAGUGUGGGAGAGGAAAGUGGAAUUCCUGGUGUAGCGGUGAAAUGCGUAGAUAUCAGGAGGAACACCGGUGGUGUAAACGGCUUUCUGGACCAUAACUGACGCUGAGGCACGAAAGCGUGGGUAGCAAACAGG